CAAAAGUCUUGAAUAAACAAAAAAUAUAUAUUGGAAAACCUAUUAAAUGAAUAAACAAAACUAAAAACAAAACUGAAAAGAGAACUGGAGGUGUGGAUCGGCGGCGUCCACCAUGGUGAAAGGGAUACGAUUUUGGAUCUCUUUUUGUAGCCAACGGAUUUUGGAUCUCUUUUUGCAGCCAGCGGUGGACCUGCAGCCUGCCAAAUUUCAGAUCUCAUUUUUGCCAGCAUCCAAACUCUAGAGUACAAAAAUUAUCGAACACUUGGUUAGCGCAGUCGGCUGAGGGCUAAAUGGUUGCAGGUCCCAGGUUCAAAACCUGUGGUAGCCGACAUUUUGGUGUUUUUUUGAAUUUUUUUAUCCAAUCCUACAUGGGGCUAUAACUAGGGUGUUUUUUUGAAUUUUUUUCAUCCAAUCCUAUGUGGGGCUAUAACUAGGGCAUAUGGUACUAUGCACCAACGACUAAAUAGGAUAAGAUAACAUUUUAAAAAUAAUUAUAAUAGAUUUUUUUAUCCAAUCCUACAUGGGGCUAUAACUAGGGUGUUUUUUUGAAUUUUUUUAUCCAAUCCUACAUGGGGCUAUAACUAGGGCAUAUGGUACUAUGCACCAACGACUAAAUAGGAUAAGAUAACAUUUUAAAAAUAAUUAUAAUAGAUUUAUAUGUAUAAUGAUCAAUUAUUGUUACAAUCUAUCAUCACAAAUACCAACAUUUUGGUAUUUUCUUUUGAAAUUUUCUUCCUUCAAUCCUACGUGGGACUAGGAGUUA
rnacentral:lncRNA from 1 species